GCUUGCUCCUUGAUUCAGCGGCGGACGGGUGAGUAAUACCUAGGAAUCUGCCUGAUAGUGGGGGACAACGUUUCGAAAGGAACGCUAAUACCGCAUACGUCCUACGGGAGAAAGCAGGGGACCUUCGGGCCUUGCGCUAUCAGAUGAGCCUAGGUCGGAUUAGCUAGUUGGUGAGGUAAUGGCUCACCAAGGCGACGAUCCGUAACUGGUCUGAGAGGAUGAUCAGUCACACUGGAACUGAGACACGGUCCAGACUCCUACGGGAGGCAGCAGUGGGGAAUAUUGGACAAUGGGCGAAAGCCUGAUCCAGCCAUGCCGCGUGUGUGAAGAAGGUCUUCGGAUUGUAAAGCACUUUAAGUUGGGAGGAAGGGCAGUAAGCUAAUACCUUGCUGUUUUGACGUUACCGACAGAAUAAGCACCGGCUAACUCUGUGCCAGCAGCCGCGGUAAUACAGAGGGUGCAAGCGUUAAUCGGAAUUACUGGGCGUAAAGCGCGCGUAGGUGGUUCGUUAAGUUGGAUGUGAAAUCCCCGGGCUCAACCUGGGAACUGCAUCCAAAACUGGCGAGCUAGAGUAGGGCAGAGGGUGGUGGAAUUUCCUGUGUAGCG
rnacentral:rRNA from 1 species